rnacentral:lncRNA from 1 species
GGCGUUUGUAAAUGAUAAAUAAUAUAUGCGAAAAAAAAAAAUUAAAAAAAUUACUGACACGUAAUAAUAUUAUUCAUGUUUCCUUCUCUUGUCGAUACGUUACUUCCUUUUUAAUCGCGUCUUCGUCGUCCUUGAAGAAAAUGGAGCCGUCCAUCAAAAAAAAUAACAACAACAACAACAACAACAACACCACCAACGUGCUCAUGAAUAUUAAGUAGCUGUGACCGUGCUGCCAUGUUGCGGCUUCGGUAGCGCGGUUUGUUGGAGCUCGCGUGGGUUCUUUGGGAAUUCCGGGUGAGGUGUGCGCGAUGGGAGAUGCCGCGAUAAUGGAUCCUGCCUUGGAACCCAAUCCACGAACUGACUUUUUGGCAUGGCUCGGCACCCAAGGUAUGAAGGCUACCAUAGCAAAUGCUGUGAGCCAAGAGUUAGGCAUAAGCGAUUACGACGGUCUGCUCGCUUGCGCAGAAGAUCCAGAAGUGAGAGAAGAGCUCUUCUCCGUGGCCAAGCAGAAGCUUCCUUUUGCCUAUUAUGCUGUUUUCCGCCGUGUUGUGAUGCAAGUGCCACUACGGCAGACACGUUCAGACGGCAGAAUUGGAAGUGACGGACGGAGGAUGGGAGGAGCUGCUGACCUGCACAAGACCCUAACUACCCUGACAGACCUUGUGCUCUCUGUACAGAGGUUGACAUCCCCCGAAGCCUUCUUGCAGUCACUCAAUGCCAGCACAUUGGCUGCUGGGAGGCCUGCAAAACGCAAGGCUGGUUCAAAUGCUGCUGGAGCACCUGUUGAAUCGUAUGAAGAACCAUCAGUAGUGAUUAAUCACCAGGGGAUUCCUAUGUACUCUGAAGCUGAGAGGAGUGAGGCUGAAGUAGCAGCUGCUGAAAUAGGUGCAAACGGUGCCUACAUUGAAAACCAGGUCAACUAUGAGCCGUCUGACAAUGAUAGCAUUGUAACCGAUAAUGCAAACAAGCGGAUGAAGAUUUGAAUUGUUCCUUCCACCACCGACCAACCUCUUCCUGUACAGACGUUGCCAAGGCACUAUUCCAUUUGCAGUUCUCUUGUAGGGAGGGGACAAACUUUGAGAUUUGCAUUUAUGUUACAUGCAUUUUUAUGCACGUUUGUUUUUUGGAGAAUUUGUAUUUGACAAAUACAGGGAAUCUGUAAAAGAAUUGCAAAAAUACAUUACUUAACGGUUUCCUUUCUCUUACAAAAAUAAACUUCAUAUGAAUCAGGAACCAUGGAGUAUGUUAGGUUUACUAAACAAACGUUCUUGAGGAAUUGCUUUGAUUUGAUCAAAUGGAUUACUUAUUCUUCUAACAGUAUCUGAAAUUGACAACAGCAGGCUGAUAAAAUGAGAAAAAAAAAACAACAAAAUGAUGUAUAAAAGAUGAAACAAGAAAAUAACAAAGGUUGAAUAUCAAAGCAAUUACAAGAUGCAAUAUAUAUUUUUAUUUCUUUUAACUAUAUAUUAAGAAAAAUAAAUGUACAGGAAGAAGACUGCAAGCAAUUCGAGUCGGAUGUGUUUCAUCUCAAGGCUGGAUUGGCUCAUGCCUAACAUGAUUGUUUGCAUUUAUUAAUUUUGAGUUAUUGCUUUAAAUGUGUCAAAGUGUAAUAAAAUUGUUAUAUAAUAUACCAUUAACAAACGUCAAAUAUAUCACCUGACUAUCCCCAAAUUAGUGAUGGACCAUCAAAAGAGACUUAACACUAUCCACCAGGAAACCUGAACAGAUCUUUACCUCAGUUUUCGACAUACAGACGACGAACACGAAUCUCGCUACAGCCGAGCAUUCAUCCGUCAAACAAAAUGGGCCGAGCAAUUGCACCCAAGAUGAGGCAAUGAUGGUUGUAAAAUGCCCUGUUGAGUGAGGUUUGGCACCAAUCCCCAAUGGCCAUGGAUUUAUUCAUGCCAUGAUAUAAUAAUCCCAACUCACUGACUGCAUAUGAGGCCAACACUGCUGGGCCAAACAUGUUUAGAGACAGAGAGAAACAAUCAGAAUCACAGUUCACAAUUCAUCUAUUUACCCACAUGCCUACAAUAUCUCGUUGAUAUCCAUUUUAUCUUGCUCAUUCACUCUAGAGGGAAGGGCACCCCCCC